UACGAAGGGGGCUAGCGUUGCUCGGAAUUACUGGGCGUAAAGGGAGCGUAGGCGGAUAGUUUAGUCAGAGGUGAAAGCCCAGGGCUCAACCUUGGAAUUGCCUUUGAUACUGGCUACCUUGAGUACGGAAGAGGUAUGUGGAACUCCGAGUGUAGAGGUGAAAUUCGUAGAUAUUCGGAAGAACACCAGUGGCGAAGGCGACAUACUGGUCCGUUACUGACGCUGAGGUGCGAAAGCGUGGGGAGCAAACAGG
rnacentral:rRNA from 1 species